rnacentral:rRNA from 1 species
UCAAAGGAAUUGACGGGGACCCGCACAAGCAGCGGAGCGUGUGGUUUAAUUCGUUGCUACACGAAGAACCUUUACCUGGGUUUGACAUAUAGGUUGUAGGGAACUGAAAAGGGACCGACCCUUCGGGGAGCCUAUACAGGUGUUGCAUGGCUGUCGUCAGCUCGUGUCGUGAGAUGUUCGGUUAAGUCCGCUAACGAGCGCAACCCUCGUCGUAUGUUAUAUGUGUCAUACGAGACUGCCGGUAAAAGCCGGAGGAAGGUGAGGAUGAUGUCAAGUCAGCAUGACCUUUAUAUCCAGGGCUACACACACGCUACAAUGGUCUGUACAAUGGGUAGCCAAGCCGCGAGGCGGAGCCAAUCCUGAAAGCAGGCCUCAGUUCAGAUUGCAGUCUGCAACUCGACUGCAUGAAGCCGGAGUUGCUAGUAACCGCAGGUCAGCAAUACUGCGGUGAAUACGUUCCCGGGUCUU